GACGAACGCUGGCGGCGUGCCUAAUACAUGCAAGUCGAACGCUGAAGCGAGGAGCUUACUCUUCUUGGAUGAGUUGCGAACGGGUGAGUAACGCGUAGGUAACCUGCCUUGUAGCGGGGGAUAAUUAUUGGAAACGAUAGCUAAUACCGCAUAACAAUGGAUGACACAUGUCAUUUAUUUGAAAGGGGCAAUUGCUCCACUACAAGAUGGACCUGCGUUGUAUUAGCUAGUAGGUGAGGUAAUGGCGCACGUAGGCGAGGAUACGUAUCCGACCGGAGCGGGUGGGCGGCCAGCCUGGGACGGAGACAGGGCACAUAGGCAGAGGGGAGGCAGCAGGAGGGAAACGGGAGGAAGGGGUGCAACCCUGACCGAGAAACGCGGAGGGAGGGAGGAAGGAUGCCGGAUCGUAAAGCACGGUUGUAAGGCAAGAACGGGUGUGAGAGUGUAAAGUUCAGAGUGUGACGGUAGCUGACCAGAAAGGAACGGCUAACUACGUG
rnacentral:rRNA from 1 species